rnacentral:sRNA from 1 species
CGGGCGGGAGAGCCUGCCGCGUUUAGAGGCUGCGGAUCACAAGGCCAUUCUGAUAGCCUCCUGUCCCCAUGGCAACUGCAACGGCAUUUAUCAGUUCCUUCUGCGCACAGGCACCGCAAAUCUGCAUUGCACAUGGCAGGCUUCCAGCAUUUCAAAUGAAAGAGCACUUUGAACGGCUGCCAAGUUUGGAAGGAGCAGAACUGUCAGGGCUGCUUAAACCUGGCAGUUUAUACUGGGGAGGUUUUCACUUCCCAGAAUCCUCCGGGCUUGGCAAGCUGCCAAGUACUUAGCGGAAGCUAAAAAGUAACUCGCUCCCUCCCCUCCUCUUUCUCCCCCUGCUCGCUCUCCCCCCUCCACACCAUUCACCGCAGUGCUCUCAAAAUUUUCCACAUGUCCUGUGUCACCAGUGCAGACUGUACAAUAAGAACCAGAACACCGGCUGCCCACGAUCGGGCUUUUCUCAAUAAUGGAGGGUUUAGGGUAGGUUCAGACACUGACAGCGGGUUCCCGCUGUACCUGCCAUAACCCCAUAUCGACUGGAUGGAAACGCGUGGCGUGUGUGUCUUUCGACCUUAAAAAACAGCGCAUUAAUAAAAAAAUAAAAAGCAGCUUCAUAACUAGGAACACCCAAAGUACUGGGUGGGGUAGAGAAUGGGGCCGUGGGGGUGCUGGGUGGAUUGACGGGAGCUGCAUGGGGUGCGGAGAGUCUUGCAAACCAAUACAAAAUGUCCACAUCCAGCUCUUCUAAGCUGUGGGGAAGAGGGUUGUAACUGAGAGCUGAACUGUUUCUGGUGCUUUCUUGGUUCUUUCAGAUGUCAUGAUGAAAGCUCACAAGCUGGAGAUGAGGAGGGAAUUGGGAGAUGGUUUUUUUCAAUGGAAAGUUUACCAGAUAACUUUUGACCCCGCACCACCCAAGAGCACCCAGAGCACCCGGGGUUUUACUGGCAGAAAGUGGGAACUGGCACAAUUUUCACUGUGCUAAUUUUUUUUUUCUUUACAUGAAAAUCUACACUGAGAUCAAGGGCUUGAGCUUUAUUUCCUGCACAAAUAGAACAAAAAUUGUCUCCCGCUUAGGCGGUUGGAUGGAGUUCAGGAAAACUAUGUCUGGCAUUAAUUCCAAAGUGGAGGUUUUGGUUCAAGUGAGGCCCAUUAAUUUCAGUAAACUGUUUUCACUAGUCCAGACCCUGCUGUGGGAGCUCUAUUUAUUACCUUUUGCUAACCUGAUGUCUGCUGAGUUGCAAAGCAGAGGGAAGGGGGAAUCUGGGAUGGGGAUAUCUCUAUCUUGGAUCAAAUGGGUUUGCACCUUCCCGUUGGGGGUCAUGCUUAAUAGUGAGUUUUAUACCCCUCACUUUUCUUUAUCAGAGCCUUUACCAAAAAAAAGAAAAAAGAAAAAAGAAAAGAAAAGAAAAAAAGAAAAAGAAAAAAAUCCAUCUUGCGACGAAUUCCAGAAAAACAAAUCUGAUGGAGAGAAAUCUGGUUGAACUACUCAGCACAGGCAAGCCCAUACAUAGACCAUGGACCCAAUUCAAGGAAAGCAAUGAGGACUGCCCUGUACCAGUCUUGACCCAGGAACAGUGAAGACCUGGGAGGAGCUUCCUGCUCGGAUUAAUCCUUUAGGGAAAGGCGAAUACUUCCGCCACGGAUCCGACUGAGGAGUAAAUGUGUAAAUCACACAGCAGCCUCCAGCCCCCACAGCCCCUUUGCGCGGGGUUUGCAAGGCUCAGUAACCGGCCGCACCCCUGGGGUUACUGGCGCGAGGCGAUUCCUGGCCUCGCUAAGGCCAAAGGAGGGCCCAGCCCACACGUUUGUUUUCAUCUACUCCUUAGCGGCUCGCAGGCCAAAGAACAGGGCACUGCUUACUGCCGGGCUGUGUGUUACCAAAAAAGGCCUUUCUCUCUGCAGAGCGCUUGGCGGCGCGCUUUGCAGCGGGGUGACGCGAGGUUCAGUCUCGGCCUCGAGAGUCAGCAAGCCAAGAGCACCCCUGACCCCGCCCCAUUUGAGUUCCAAAUUGUGGGGGCCUUGGAGGGCGGGCCGGAGUCGCCGGAUGCAUAGAAGUGCUUAAGAUCCUGACAACCCUUCACACGCCUAACACUGGGCUACGUUGUUCUGCAGAGGCCAAGUGGAAAGCUGACCUUUUGCUCCAGUUUAGACAGCAAGCUGAGGAAGAAAGAUAGCCAUUAAGAUGGAACUUUGCUUCAUGGGGUUAGGGCUAACACUUUGUACCUUGCUCUGCAAGUCUCUGCAGUGGGUGCGCCCCAGAACAUAGCGCCAGAGCUCUGCGUCUCGGCUCCUCCAUUUCUCACCUCACUUGAUCAGUGCUCCUCAAGAGAUCACAGCACUCCUGCAGGAGCCGAGGAAUGUAUUUCCAAACACUGGAAUUCGCACCUCCCCAAUUGCUGAUGCAUCCCCAAACAGGGCCUUCUGAGACAAGCAGUUAAGAAGCAAUUUAUCACCAAGAACGAUGGUGAUACUUUUUGAGGGGGUAUGGAGAGUUGUGAUUUUUAAAUAAAAGGAUUAUGGGACUGUGGGCUGUAAUGGGAUUGUUUAAAUGCAUGCUGAUGGCUAGCUCGCUAUGUUCACAAAUACCUCGUUUUUGGUGUGUGUGUGUGUGUGUAUGUGUGUGUGUGUGUGUGUGUGUGUGUGUGUGUGUGUGUUUGGUAAAAGAAAGAAACAAGGAGAUAGGAACUUAUGUGUCUGUUUGUACCAAAUGUAACAUCGUGACAUGGAAUUCAACUUGCUUUUUCUAGCUGCCUGGCUGGAGGGUUAUAGUUAAGUUGUUAUUUCUAAAGUAUUUUUGGUUUAAUAAAGAGAAAGAGAAAUAAUGUAAAGAAAUGGGUCAUCCACCAAGCCAAAGUUCAUGAGUCCCGGGCUGGGAGGGAUUGAUUGUUUUGACUCACUCAAGGGUAUCUGUGAGUAGGGUGAGGUCUAAGGGUGCGGAGACACUCACUGAGAAGCUCUACACACAGGACUCUGCUCCAAGGCAGCCAGGGUGCGGAGAGGAGACACUCACUGAGAAGCUCUACACACAGGACUCUGCUCCAAGCCAGCCAGGCAAAGUUUAUUAUUGCCCUGGAGCACACAGUGAGCUCACUGUUUUUGCAAAAACAGAAACUGGGUUGCUCUGAGAUGAAAGAACGACUCCCUAUGUGCUCCCUUCUCCACGAAAGCUCCACCUGCCUUUGCACUUAGAACCCAGGAUGAAGAUCUCCAUGCUGGGAAAACGCCAAACAGCUUCUGGAGAUCAAAUGUCAAAAUAAAAGUAUUUGUUGUUGCUUCAGCCGGCUGUAAUAGUGGUCAUAAAUAAUGAUCACCAUGCCUCGCACUCAUUAAUAUUUUCACAGGUUAGCCAGUGACAGUAUCAAUAUCACCAACACUGGUGCCCAACUGUGAAUGCGGUAAUGUGGUCUUCAUACUAUAUGGUUCAUUUAUGCCUCAGUCUGCCAAACGGCACCGUCACAGCUUCUCUGUGUGGAAGAACUCAGUAGUACAGUCUGGAAGGGGAUCCUCGGGCUCAUUAUGAAGGUGAUUUGCAUAGUACUUUAUAUACAAGGUUGUAUAACAAAAAAUGGGAUUCUGAUGGAAAAAAAUCUCAGCCCCCUGCACCAUCUCUUGGAGAUGUGCUUGUGUGCACCCCCACCACUUAAACCAAACGUGCUGGAUUCAGACCCCAGGCCAGCUGCUGCAGUAAGUUCAGUCUAUUUUCCUAGUCUGUAAAAUGGAGUGGAAUCUACUUCACUUCAUAGAAGACAUUCUGGGUUUAAUAAUGUAAAUGCCGUUUUAUAUAAUGUAUCUACUUUUUAAA